UCCCUGGUGGCCCUGGGCUUGAGCUGAAGCAUAUGGCAUCCAGGGAAAGCUGAUCAACUGGGAGCUGAGUCCUGGAGGAGCGCCAUGACAAUAGGAACCAAGAAUGUGUCCAAGUCAGAGGAACAUUACCGCUCAUUAGACAACAGCCUGUGUUUUCUAACCACCUAUAUAAAUACUUGUGGCUCCUUCCCAUGUGAUCUAGGCUGCUGGUAAGCUUUGAUGCAUUGAGAUGCAGACACAAACAGAUCUCCCCAGAGGGGAUUUAUGACAUAGGCAACUCGAACAUGUCUCAUAGUGGGGAGGGUUUUCCUUCCCAUAUCUCUCUUCUGUUCCCACAGUGCUUUCCCACCUGUGAAACAAGGGCCUGGACACAACCAGAGGGCCAUCAACGAAAAUCAUUGACAACCUACUUGUAACUGGCAUUGUCCUGGACAUCAUGAAAAAGUUCAAAGAAGGGCAUGGCCCUUCCCUUAGCAGGCUCAAGGACUAUCUGGGAGGGUUGGCUGGU
rnacentral:lncRNA from 10 species